rnacentral:lncRNA from 1 species
GCAUGAUUGGGACAAAUUAAAGAACAUGCUAUCCUUUCAGCUGAAGCAGCUCUUCAUGGUUUUACCGAAGGUCCUCCAUUUACCCUUCAGAGGCUUUAUGAGGUGAUCACUUCAACUUUAUACUAGGCUAUUGAAUCAGAAAGCCAAGAAUUGGAGCUCGAUCUUUCAAGUUUGGGUGCUGUAAAUACCAUGUUUGCUGAUUAGAGCAGGAUCUAUCAGAACAAAUGGGUAUGUGUACUAAUUAGAGCUUCAAAACUAUGGUUAGCAUAUGAUAACUAUGACUCAACAUGAGUGCUCAUUGCAAGUCUGAACAUUUACUGGGUUAACUACUCUUCAUUAGUUCUCUGCUCUCUAAUAAUAUAUAUAACAUAUAUAUGUAUUUUGUAUAUAUAUAUAUAUAUGUAGUAUAAUAUAGGUGUUUUGUGUUUGCGUAUAUAUAAGCUUAGGACCAAAAUAGUAUAAAUUUCUUUUAUACUUGGAAGAAAUUUGGUUUAUUGUUGCUUCAUGUUUUAUAUAGCAUCAGUUUUGUAUUACCUUAGACAGAGAACUAUCUAUUACUAUUGGUUGAGAUUCU